CGGGCGGACGGGUGAGUAACGCGUGGGUAACCUACCCUGUACACACGGAUAACAUACCGAAAGGUAUGCUAAUACGGGAUAAUAUAUUUGAGAGGCAUCUCUUGAAUAUCAAAGGUGAGCCAGUACAGGAUGGACCCGCGCCUGAUUAGCUAGUUGGUAAGGUAACGGCUUACCAAGGCGACGAUCAGUAGCCGACCUGAGAGGGUGAUCGGCCACAUUGGAACUGAGACACGGUCCAA
rnacentral:rRNA from 1 species